AACUGUAAGGAUAUAGUUUAUCUAUAUACAUGAGGAUAUGGGAAGAACAUAGUUAGAGCUUAUCUAUGAGCAAUAGUGUUGAUAACAAUCAGUAUAUAUAGAGCUGCUUCACGGAAAACAAUUAAGUUGGGAAUAUUAUUCUGAGUGUAGAUGAUUGUAUAAACCAAUAUAGUUCGCCCUGCAGAUUGUCUAAAAUUUGGAUUACCAGCAGAGUCUUAGUGAUCAAGAGAGUCUGAUUUUGAAAAAAAAUUUUUUAUUACAUCACGGUGAUUUUUAAACAUGAGAAAACGUUCUGCUGAGGACCCUACUGACGAUUUCAGUGAUUCCGAAAUUAUAUCUGAGCUUGAACAAAAUUUCUUAGAAAUAAAUGGAGAGGACAUUUUACCUGAUUUUGAGCAACAUUUUUUGGAGUCAGAUAGUUUAUUGAUUCACCAUGUGGAACAAGUAUUUGCCGCAAAUCCCACUAUUUCUCUUCAGAGUGGUGAGGGAGCGGCCAACGAAGUAAGCAAAUUUUCUCAUAUAAUCCUAGUUGCAUAUAUGAUAUGUCUAUAGAAUG